rnacentral:rRNA from 1 species
UCAACGGAGAGUUUGAUCCUGGCUCAGGACGAACGCUGGCGGCGUGCUUAACACAUGCAAGUCGAACGGUGACGGAGGAGCUUGCUCCUCCUGAUCAGUGGCGAACGGGUGAGUAACACGUGAGUAACCUGCCCCAGACUCUGGAAUAACCCCGGGAAACCGGAGCUAAUACCGGAUAUGAGACGGAGAGGCAUCUCUACCGUCUGGAAAGUUUUUCGGUCUGGGAUGGACUCGCGGCCUAUCAGCUAGUUGGUGAGGUAAUGGCUCACCAAGGCGACGACGGGUAGCCGGCCUGAGAGGGCGACC